UACACUCGACUUUAUAAAAAG
rnacentral:piRNA from 1 species